AAAUAAGGUGCAAUAACGUGAAACAAAUGAUGAGGCUUCGUAUUGCUCAUAAGAGGAACGAUGAUGAAGAUGCAAAGGAGGAGCUUUACUCUUUGGUUGCAGUUGUUGAUAUUCACUGAGGAAACAAUUUAAUUUUUUGGACCAUCCAAGUUGCCACCAAUUUAAUCAAGGCAUAUUUUUUGUUCUUCUGUAAUUACUUUUUUCGAAACGUUUUCAUGAGACAGUUUCUGCAAAAUGAUGAAUAUGAAUUGAAGUUGCGGAUGGUUAUGGACAUGCUUUAGUAUUUUAUGAUAAGUGGACGAAGAUCUACAAAAGUUUCAGCCAAACCUUGAAGAAUUCAGAGGAUCUGUAUUUUUUACGACAUUACAAAGAGUGAUGAAUGCUCAAAAUAAUUGGUAAUCAGAAGAAUUGGAGUUUUGGAUAUUUCAAAUUUGGACAAAGUGCAGUGCAGGAAUUUGUGCAACAAACAGUACAAAUGGAGAAUUAUCAAAAUAUUAAUAAGGUACAACAAUCGCAUGUUCUCUAUUCAUAGUUCACUGUAUAAAUAAUAUUAGCAAAUCAUUAGUCCAUGGUUAUGUAUUGCUUCAAACUCCAGCUUUUUAAAGGAUUUUUUUUUUUUUUAAAAAAACAACAAUACUAUCAUUUUCAAAUACAUACUAUACCUUAUAUAUA